rnacentral:rRNA from 1 species
ACGCACGCUGGCGGCGUGCUUAACACAUGCCAGUCGAACGGAAAGGCCCCUUUGGGGGUACUCGAGUGGCGACCGGGUGAGUAACACGUGAGUAACCUGCCCUUGACUUCGGGAUAACUUCAGGAAACUGGGGCUAAUACCGGAUAGGAAUCCUUGCUGCAUGGUGGGGGUUGGAAAGCUUCGGCGGUUUUGGAUGGACUCGCGGCUUAUCAGCUUGUUGGUGGGGUAGUGGCUUACCAAGGCUUUGACGGGUAGCCGGCCUGAGAGGGCGACCGGCCACAUUGGGACUGAGAUACGGCCCAGACUCCUACGGGAGGCAGCAGUGGGGAAUAUUGCACAAUGGGCGGAAGCCUGAUGCAGCAACGCCGCGGGCGGGAUGACGGCCUUCGGGUUGUAAACCGCUUUCAGCAGGGGCGAAGCUUGUGGUGACGGUACCUGCAGAAGAAGCACCGGCUAACUACGUG